rnacentral:rRNA from 2 species
UACUCCUACGGGAGGCAGCAGUGGGGAAUAUUGCGCAAUGGGCGAAAGCCUGACGCAGCGACGCCGCGUGAGGGAAGAAGGCCUUCGGGUCGUAAACCUCUGUCUGGAGGAAAGAAACCCAUGGGUUCGAAUAAAAUCCAUGGCUGACG